GAAAAAUAGAGUGUUCCCAGAGUUAGUCUUUUAAGUAAAAUAAAGUAAAUUUGCUUCGCGUUGUGUUUUAUAGUAGUAAAAUUGCACCAAAAAGGGGUGACUAACUCUGGCGAACUGCACCGAAGUGGUGGCUAACUCUAGACUCGAUUAGUACUAAUAUUAGUUCCGGCGAGUAUUUGGAGGCCUGUGCAAGGCCGACUCCGACUGAAUAUCAAAUGAUAUCCUAAACUUGUCAUUAAACAGGAGAACUUUAACAUAAAAGGUACUGAAGAAAAGUUAAAUAAAUGAAUAUUCUUAAAACAUGAUAAAAGCAUCAAAAGUUAAAUACUAAAACAGUUAA
rnacentral:lncRNA from 1 species